rnacentral:rRNA from 1 species
UACGGGAGGCAGCAGUGGGGAAUAUUGCACAAUGGGCGCAAGCCUGAUGCAGCCAUGCCGCGUGUAUGAAGAAGGCCUUCGGGUUGUAAAGUACUUUCAGCGGGGAGGAAGGCGAUGUGGUUAAUAACCGCGUCGAUUGACGUUACCCGCAGAAGAAGCACCGGCUAACUCCGUGCCAGCAGCCGCGGUAAUACGGAGGGUGCAAGCGUUAAUCGGAAUUACUGGGCGUAAAGCGCACGCAGGCGGUCUGUUAAGUCAGAUGUGAAAUCCCCGGGCUUAACCUGGGAACUGCAUUUUGAACUGGCAGGCUUGAGUCUCGUAGAGGGGGUAGAAUUCCAGGUGUAGCGGUGAAAUGCGUAGAGAUCUGGAGGAAUCCGGUGGCGAAGGCGGCCCCUGGGACGAAGACUGACGCUCAGGGUGCGAAAGCGUGGGGAGCAAACGAGGAUUAGGAU